AACCCAUGUUGAGGACAUUUCUAUAGGAGCUCCGUGAACCUAUCCCAUAUCUCAAAAAGACACUCCAAUUUCAUUUGUAUAUAAGAGGAUAUUUCAUUCCUAAGCUU